ACACUGAAGGUGUGUGUCUUCCUUCAACCAAUCAGGUCCUUCAGAACUGUAGAUGCCACACUGCCUGCCCAGGGGCCAUGGCUGGUGCACGUCCUCCUGACCAGUGGAUCCCAAGCACCCCUGAGGGCGGCCUCCGUCCCCUCCCUGGCUGUAGGCAGAGGAUGGAGGCAGCGGGCCUCCCUGUCCAGCCACACACCUGGGCUGCUUUUCCAGGCAGCCAGGCAGGAGUGCCCCACUCCACAUGCCCUGGGCAGUUACUGGGCAGCAGGCAGCUAGAGGACAGGACAUCUGGACAAGGUCUCCCAGCUCUGGAAGGCUCUCUCCCUGCAGCAACAGGGUCCUGCUCCACCCAGCAGACCCUGGGGGCUGCCUCUGAUGGUCACUGGCUGGGCAGCACCACAGACACAGCCCAAGUGGCACAACAGCCCCAAGCGGUCACCCUCAGGCUGGCACCUCACACGACAUCUGAGCACCUGAGAGCACGGACCUCGCUCUGCAGGGGAACGGAGGGUGUGACCCUCAGGCCCUUGUCCCCACUCAGGGAGCCCUCCCUGCCCCCCUGGGUCAGCGCCUCCCCAUCCCAGAGCCCACAGCUCUCUCCACUUCCCACUGACCAGGUCUUCCUCCCACCACGGGCUCUCCGAGGGCACAGGGACAGAGCAGAACACAGCAGUCCUCGGUAAACUCGAGAGACCAGGGAUCAGGAUCGGGCAGCUGGAGAGCUGGGGGGUGGACAGAUGGAGCAAGGGUCCUCAGCCAAAGGAGCCUCCCCUCCACAGCAGAGGUUCACCGACAGCGGGUGGACAUGGGCUCCUCUCAGAUCCCAAGACAGCACCACCAACACGCCCUCAGCAGGCGCAGGCCUCCCCCCGCGGGAGGUCAAAGUGCACGCCCCCUGCACCCCCCACCUCGCUCCAGCCCAUUAAAGGUUGGUGCCUCCCAAGGCGCUCAGAGAUCUGCCCAUGUCAAUGGCCAACAGGUGCCCAGGUGCUGGACCGGCCUGCUGAGCCCUGCUGGCAUCCCCCACGGUGCUGCCUCACCUUCUCUGAACAGGGCUGCAGCACAGAGAAGCCGCGCCAUCAGCUGCUCUUCCAGCUGCUCAGGUGGCCACUCACGGAGCACCCUCACACCAGCCAGCCUGCCACCCACUGGGCCACAGGGUCUCCCUGUGCCCAGCUCCACCACUCUGCCUGGUUCUGCUCCCACCUGCUGGACCAGCUCUGCUCCAAAACCCCCACACCCUCCCCAGGGCUCCAGCUGCUGGGGACCUCAGCCUGGCCAGGGCGCAUGCCACUGAGCCCCCGUACAGGAACAGACACGAGUCGCGGAGGGCAGCAGAGAAGGUGCUGGCCCAGUCCUCUUUCCCCACACAGCCUCCAAAUCAUCCCGGGCACAAAUGGCAUUCCUUGGAAAAGCGGGCAGGUAGAGUCACAUAAGGAAGUGGCCAUGGACACCAGCAGGCCUGUGGUGCCAGUGUCCCCCGUGUUCCUUGCUCUGCCAGCUGGAGGUCCAGAACCACCAAACCCACACCCAGGUCUGGGUGUCUGAUACUGUUCUCCACCAAAAGGAAACAGGGCCCCCUGGAGAAGUGGCUGGUUCCUGGGCAGCUCCUGUAGGGCCAGGGAGCACCCACAGUGAUGGGGUUUCCAAGGGACCCAGCGGCCAGAACAGAAGAAUCAGCAACAAAAUAAAUAAAGCGCAAUUAUACUGUAA